GACGAACGCUGGCGGCGUGCUUAACACAUGCAAGUCGAACGGAAAGGCCCUGCUUUUGUGGGGUGCUCGAGUGGCGAACGGGUGAGUAACACGUGAGUAUCCUGCCCUUGACUUUGGGAUAACUUCAGGAAACUGGGGCUAAUACCGGAUAGGAGCUCCUGCUGCAUGGUGGGGGUUAGAAAGUUUCGGCGGUUGGGGAUGGACUCGCGGCUUAUCAGCUUGUUGGUGGGGUAGUGGCUUACCAAGGCUUUGACGGGUAGCCGGCCUGAGAGGGUGACCGGCCACAUUGGGACUGAGAUACGGCCCAGACUCCUACGGGAGGCAGCAGUGGGGAAUAUUGCACAAUGGGCGGAAGCCUGAUGCAGCAACGCCGCGUGCGGGAUGACGGCCUUCGGGUUGUAAACCGCUUUCGCCUGUGACGAAGCGUGAGUGACGGUAAUGGGUAAAGAAGCACCGGCUAACUACGUG
rnacentral:rRNA from 1 species